GAAAUAAUUGAAGAAUGGUGUUGGAGCAUAAAAUAAGAUCGAUUUAUUACCUUGUAAUUUUGAAUUAGAGUAUAGGAACAUUGUACUAUAUAGGGAAUGUGUGUCGGGGAUAGAUCCCCAGUACCCACAAGGAAGGAAGAAGAUGGACUCCUAUUAGGAUUUCUCUGUAAUCCUACUAGAACUCAUACCAUAUAAUCUUACUAGGACUCCUUGUAACCGACUAGUAAUCCCGCCUCCUAGAGUAUAUAAAGGAGGGAAGGGGUCCCU
rnacentral:lncRNA from 1 species